rnacentral:rRNA from 1 species
UACAGAGGGGGCGAGCGUUGUUCGGAAUUACUGGGCGUAAAGGGCGCGUAGGUGGCCUGUUAAGUCGAACGUGAAAUCCCCGGGCUCAACCCGGGAACUGCGUCCGAGACUGGCAGGCUCGAAUCCGGGAGAGGGAUGUGGAAUUCCAGGUGUAGCGGUGAAAUGCGCAGAUAUCAGGAGGAACACCGGUGGCGAAGGCGGAUCUCUGGGCCUUACCUGACGCUGAGGUGCGAAAGCUAGGGGAGCAAACGGG